ensembl:snRNA U6 U6 spliceosomal RNA
UUGCUUCAGCAGCACAUACACUACAAUUGGAACAAUAUAGAGAAGAUUAGCAUGGCCCCUGCACAAGGAUGACAUGCACAUACGUGAAGUGUUCCAUAUAAAA